AACGCACCUUGCGCUCCUUGGUAUUCCGAGGAGCAUGCCUGUUUGAGUGUCAUUAAUAUAUCAAUCUCUUCAGCUUUGCUUGUUGAGUAUUGGAUGUGGGGGUCUUUUUGCUGGUCUUUUAAAAGAGAUCAGCUCCCCUAAAAUGUAUUAGCGGAACAAUUUGUUGACCGUUCAUUGGUGUGAUAAUUAUCUACGCUAUUGACGUGAGGCAGUUCAGCUUCUAACAGUCCAUUGACUUGGACAGUUUUUUCAUUAAUGUGACCUCAAAUCAGGUAGGACUACCCGCUGAACUUAA
rnacentral:misc_RNA from 2 species